rnacentral:rRNA from 1 species
CCCUUAGAUGCUCUGGGCCGCACGCGCGCUACACUGGUCGAUGCAACGAGUUUCUUUCCUUGGCCGACAGGCCUGGGCAAUCUUUGAACAUCGAUCGUGAUCGGGAUAGAUUCUUGUAAUUUUUGAUCUUAAACGAGGAAUUCCUAGUAAACGCAAGUCAUCAGCUUGCAUUGAUUACGUCCCUGCCCUUUGUACACACCGCCCGUCGCACCUACCGAUUGAAUGGUCCGGUGAAAUCUCCGGACUGGCGUGAGUCGGAGCAAUCUGACAAACGCCGGAAAGUUGAUUAAACCUUACCAUUUAGAGGAAGGUGAAGUCAUAACA